CCUACGGGUGGCAGCAGUGAGGAAUAUUGGUCAAUGGGCGAGAGCCUGAACCAGCCAAGUAGCGUGAAGGAUGAAUGCUCUAUGGGUUGUAAACUUCUUUUAUAAGGGAAUAAAACGAGGCACGUGUGCCUUUUUGCAUGUACUUUAUGAAUAAGGAUCGGCUAACUCCGUGCCAGCAGCCGCGGUAAUACGGAGGAUCCGAGCGUUAUCCGGAUUUAUUGGGUGUAAAGGGAGCGUAGAUGGGUUGUUAAGUCAGUUGUGAAAGUGUGCGGCUCAACCGUAAAAUUGCAAUUGAUACUGGCAGUCUUGAGUAUAGUUGAGGUAGGCGGAAUGCGUGGUGUAGCGGUGAAAUGCUUAGAUAUCACGAAGAACCCCGAUUGCGAAGGCAGCUUACUAAACUGUGACUGACAUUGAUGCUCGAAGGUGUGGGUAUCAAACAGGAUUAGAUACCCUUGUAGUC
rnacentral:rRNA from 1 species